GGGGAGUAGCCCACCCGUCCAGACGGGGUCCGCGCGUCAACACACUUGGUCCACAGGCCAUGGUGCGCGGGACGAAGCGAUCCGCUUCGCCGGGCAAGACCGAAGGCAGGCGUCGCGCUUACCCGGGCCGGGCAGUGCGUCGUU
rnacentral:sRNA from 2 species